rnacentral:rRNA from 1 species
ACGCUGGCGGCGUGCUUAACACAUGCAAGUCGAACGAUGAAGCCUAGCUUGCUAGGUGGAUUAGUGGCGAACGGGUGAGUAAUACGUGAGUAACCUACCUUUAACUCUGGGAUAAGCCCGGGAAACUGGGUCUAAUACCGGAUACGACCAAUCUCCGCAUGGGGUGUUGGUGGAAAGCGUUAUGUAGUGGUUAUAGAUGGGCUCACGGCCUAUCAGCUUGUUGGUGAGGUAACGGCUCACCAAGGCGACGACGGGUAGCCGGCCUGAGAGGGUGACCGGCCACACUGGGACUGAGACACGGCCCAGACUCCUACGGGAGGCAGCAGUGAGGAAUAUUGCACAAUGGGCGCAAGCCUGAUGCAGCGACGCCGCGUGAGGGAUGACGGCCUUCGGGUUGUAAACCUCUGUUAGCAGGGAAGAAGAGAGAUUGACGGUACCUGCAGAGAAAGCGCCGGCUAACUACGUGCCAGCAGCCGCGGUAAUACGUAGGGCGCGAGCGUUGUCCGGAAUUAUUGGGCGUAAAGAGCUUGUAGGCGGUUUGUCGCGUCUGCUGUGAAAGGCCGGGGCUUAACCCCGUGUAUUGCAGUGGGUACGGGCAGACUAGAGUGCAGUAGGGGAGACUGGAAUUCCUGGUGUAGCGGUGGAAUGCGCAGAUAUCAGGAGGAACACCGAUGGCGAAGGCAGGUCUCUGGGCUGUAACUGACGCUGAGAAGCGAAAGCAUGGGGAGCGAACAGGAUUAGAUACCCUGGUAGUCCAUGCCGUAAACGUUGGGCACUAGGUGUGGGGGACAUUCCACGUUUUCCGCGCCGUAGCUAACGCAUUAAGUGCCCCGCCUGGGGAGUACGGCCGCAAGGCUAAAACUCAAAGAAAUUGACGGGGGCCCGCACAAGCGGCGGAGCAUGCG